rnacentral:rRNA from 1 species
AGAUUGAACGCUAGCGGGAUGCUUUACACAUGCAAGUCGAACGGCAGCGCGGACUUCGGUCUGGCGGCGAGUGGCGAACGGGUGAGUAAUAUAUCGGAACGUGCCCAGUCGUGGGGGAUAACGUAGAGAAAUUUACGCUAAUACCGCAUACGAUCUACGGAUGAAAGCGGGGGACUCGCAAGAGCCUCGCGCGAUUGGAGCGGCUGAUAUCAGAUUAGGUUGUUGGUGAGGUAAAAGCUCACCAAGCCGACGAUCUGUAGCUGGUUUGAGAGAACGACCAGCCACACUGGGACUGAGACACGGCCCAGACUCCUACGGGAGGCAGCAGUGGGAAUUUUGGACAAGUGGGCGAAAGCCUGAUCCAGCAAUGCCGCGUGCAGGAAGAAGGCCUUGGUAGUAACUGUCGUUUUAGUACGGAACGAAAGGCUUACUUUACUAAUAAAGAGGACCAUAGACGGUAACCGUAAGUAA